CAGCAGCCACGGGAAUACGAAGGGGGCUAGCGUUGCUCGGAAUGACUGGGCGUAAAGGGUGCGUAGGCGGUUCAGCAAGUCUCGUGUGAAAUCUUCGGGCUCAACCCGAAGUCUGCACGGGAAACUACUGGGCUUGAGUAAUGGAGAGGUGAGUGGAAUUUCCGGUGUAGCGGUGAAAUGCGUAGAUAUCGGAAGGAACACCUGUGGCGAAAGCGGCUCACUGGACAAUAACUGACGCUGAUGCACGAAAGCUAGGGGAGCAAACAGGAUUAGAUACCCCUGUAGUCCCUGUCUCUUAUAC
rnacentral:rRNA from 1 species